CACGUAGGGUGCGAGCGUUGUCCGGAAUUAUUGGGCGUAAAGAGCUCGUAGGCGGUGUGUCGCGUCGGCCGUGAAAACCUGCAGCUUAACUGUGGGCGUGCGGUCGAUACGGGCAUCACUGGAGUUCGGCAGGGGAGACUGGAAUUCCUGGUGUAGCGGUGAAAUGCGCAGAUAUCAGGAGGAACACCGGUGGCGAAGGCGGGUCUCUGGGCAACAACUGACGCUGAGGUACGAAAGCGUGGGGAGCAAACAGG
rnacentral:rRNA from 1 species